rnacentral:rRNA from 1 species
GACGAACGCUGGCGGCGUGCCUAAUACAUGCAAGUAGAACGCACAGUUUAUACCGUAGCUUGCUACACCAUAGACUGUGAGUUGCGAACGGGUGAGUAACGCGUAGGUAACCUGCCUGGUAGCGGGGGAUAACUAUUGGAAACGAUAGCUAAUACCGCAUAAUAUUGAUUAUUGCAUGAUAAUUAAUUGAAAGGUGCAAUUGCACCACUACCAGAUGGACCUGCGUUGUAUUAGCUAGUAGGUGAGGUAACGGCUCACCUAGGCGACGAUACAUAGCCGACCUGAGAGGGUGAUCGGCCACACUGGGACUGAGACACGCCACAGACUCCUAGGGGAGGCAGCAGUAGGGAAUCUUGGGCAAUGGACGAAAGUCUGACCGAGCAACGCCGAGUGAGUGAAGAAGGUUUUCGGAUCGUAAAGCUCUGUUGUAAGAGAAGAACGGGUGUGAGAGUGGAAAGUUCACACUGUGACGGUAUCUUACCAGAAAGGGACGGCUAACUACGUG